GUACGUCAUCCCCACCUUCCUCCGAGUUGACCCCGGCAGUCUCCUAUGAGUCCCCGACAUUACUCGCUGGCAACAUAGAACAAGGGUUGCGCUCGUUGCGGGACUUAACCCAACAUCUCACGACACGAGCUGACGACAACCAUGCACCACCUGUAUAGCGCCCUUGCGGACCUGACAUCUCUGCCAGUUUUCGCCAUAUGUCAAGCCUUGGUAAGGCUCUUCGCGUUGCGUCGAAUUAAGCCACAUGCUCCACCGCUUGUGCAGGCCCCCGUCAAU
rnacentral:misc_RNA from 1 species